rnacentral:rRNA from 1 species
AUUGAACGCUGGCGGAAUGCUUUACACAUGCAAGUCGAACGGUAGAGGGGGCAACCCCUCGAGAGUGGCGAACGGGUGAGUAAUAUAUCGGAACGAGCCCAGUCGUGGGGGAUAACGUAGCGAAAGUUACGCUAAUACCGCAUACGAUCUAAGGAUGAAAGCGGGGGAUCGCAAGACCUCGCGCGAUUGGAGCGGCCGAUAUCAGAUUAGGUAGUUGGUGGGGUAAAGGUUCACCAAGCCAACGAUCUGUAGCUGGUCUAAGAGGACGACCAGCCACACUGGAACUGAGACACGGUCCAGACUCCUACGGGAGGCAGAAGUGGGGAAUUUUGGACAAUGGACGCAAGUCUGAUUCAGCCAUUCCGCGUGCAGGAUGAAGGCCCUCGGGUUGUAAACUGCUUUUGUACGGAACGAAAAGGUCUCUCUUAAUACGGGGGGCUCAUGACGGUACCGUAAGAAUAAGCACCGGCUAACUACGUGCCAGCCGCCGCAGUAA